GGUAAAUCAAAUAUUUCAAUUACAAAUUAAUUUAAAAUCUUGAUCUAGGAGAAACGCUGGCCACACAUUUUUUAUCUACUAUAUUUGCCUUUAUCUUUUUUACUCUCUCACAGAUUCCAUUCUACGAAGAGAAAAAAACAUUUGAUUUCCUCUCAUUCUCUGGUUGAUGACGACCGGUGUUAAAAGAGUAAAGUUUGAGGCUGAGAUUCGAAGGCCUGGUGUCAAGGUUGUUUGCAACAGAGAGAAUUCUGAGCAAAUAGUUAAAUGUGUACUCAAAGUCGGAUGUUUUUUUGUUUGGUAUGGAACCUCCACUCGGUGGGAUGUUUUUUUCUUGGAUUAUAUAUGUAAGUUUGUUGGAAUUUAAGUGGAUGGUUGAAUAGGUCAUCGUACAUGAGGAAAUGAAAUGGGAGUAUAAAAUCCAAGUGUACGUGUCGGUGUAUGUAGUAUACAAAACACAUUGUAUAUGGUGUGUGUGUACAACAAUUGUGGAAGGAUAAUUGUGGACAGAGAUGGUGGAGGCUUUACGUACA